CAGCAGCCACGGUAAUACAGAGGAUGCAAGCGUUAUCCGGAAUGAUUGGGCGUAAAGGGCUCGCAGGCGGUUUCUUAAGUCUGAUGUGAAAGCCCCCGGCUCAACCGGGGAGGGUCAUUGGAAACUGGGAAACUUGAGUGCAGAAGAGGAGAGUGGAAUUCCACGUGUAGCGGUGAAAUGCGUAGAGAUGUGGAGGAACACCAGUGGCGAAGGCGACUCUCUGGUCUGUAACUGACGCUGAGGAGCGAAAGCGUGGGGAGCGAACAGGAUUAGAUACCCCUGUAGUCCCUGUCUCUUAUAU
rnacentral:rRNA from 1 species